UCCCGGUUAGCUCAAUUGGUCAGAGCGUCGGACUUUUAGCCACAGGUUCUCGCGAGCCUCGCUAUGGUCAUCCGAAGGCUGCGAGUUCGACCCUCGCAUCGGGAG
rfam:Colletotrichum sublineola strain TX430BB Scaffolds0738.1, whole genome shotgun sequence.